CGCGAUUGCUGUAGACGAGAUGCUGCUUAUCCGAUCUGAAGCAGUUAGUGUAUUUUGUUUUCUUUGUGGUUACUGGUUAACAGGUUAGCUGCAGAGGAUCUUUCUAUGGAUACGACCAAUUAACAGAGGAGAGAUCGAGGUAUGUCAUUUCAAGCUAUAGCUUUCGUCGGAAACGUUCAAUAAGAAAAGUAAACACGCUCCCAAAUGCGCUUUGUGACACCCCGCAUUAUGGAGUUGAACAGUCUGCUGGGGCUUUACCACCCACCUCAGACCUCCACUGUAGGCCCGUCUUAGAUCUUACUCCAGCAAUCAGCUUGCAGAGUUCUGCUUACUGCAGGAGUCCUGUGGCAUUUGGAGUAACUGCAAUGCACCUUUAGGCACUUUGACCUGUGAACCCCAUGCAGAGAUGCCAUUACCAUGAUGUAAUCCCAGGAGAUCAUCAGCCUCACUGCCAUGCCUGAGUGGAGUGUACCUUCUGCCGUCCCAAUGGGUGAAG